rnacentral:lncRNA from 1 species
CCAACAAAUAUUAAAAAAAAAUUUAAUAGCAUAUAUACUUUUUAAAUCAUGUUUGGCUCGUAGAACACUGGCAUUAAAAAUAGUAAUUUCCAGAUAACUAAAAUUUUUUGAGAAAAUAAACUUCAACUAGAAAAUGUACAUCAAAUAUUUGAUGCCAGAUCAUCUUCACUGCAAAUUGCAGAAGAAAGAUUGAUUCAAAGUCUCGAGAAAUUGAUUCAAUCAGGACUUUUCGAAUAAGCUACUCCAAAAAUGUCGCCCGGCAAAAUUCGGUAUGAUAUUUUUUAUUAAAGAUAUUUCAUUCU